GACGAACGCUGGCGGCGCGCUUAACACAUGCAAGUCGAACGGAAAGGCCCUGCUUUUGUGGGGUGCUCGAGUGGCGAACGGGUGCGUAACACGUGAGUAACCUGCCCUUGACUUUGGGAUAACUUCAGGAAACUGGGGCUAAUACCGGAUAGGAGCUCCUGCUGCAUGGUGGGGGUUGGAAAGUUUCGGCGGUUGGGGAUGGACUCGCGGCUUAUCAGCUUGUUGGUGGGGUAGUGGCUUACCAAGGCUUUGACGGGUAGCCGGCCUGAGAGGGUGACCGGCCACAUUAGGACUGAGAUACGGCGCAGAGUCGUACGGGAGGCAGCAGUGGGGAAUAUUGCACAAUGGGCGGAAGCCGGAUGCAGCAGCGCCGCGUGCGGGAUGACGGCCUUCGGGGUGUAAACCGCUUUCGCCUGUGACGAAGCGUGAGUGACGGUAAUGGGUAAAGAAGCACCGGCUAACUACGUG
rnacentral:rRNA from 1 species